rnacentral:rRNA from 1 species
CACGUAGGAGGCGAGCGUUGUCCGGAAUCAUUGGGCGUAAAGAGCGCGCAGGCGGCUUGGCAAGUCGGGUGUGAAAUCCCGGGGCUCAACCCCCGUGACUGCAUCCGAUACUGUCAGGCUAGAGGUAGGUAGGGGGAGAUCGGAAUUCCUGGUGUAGCGGUGAAAUGCGCAGAUAUCAGGAGGAACACCGGUGGCGAAGGCGGGUUGCUGGGCUGACACUGACGCUGAGGCGCGAAAGCUAGGGGAGCGAACGGG